GCAAGGGUGGCGGAAUGGCAGACGCGCUAGGCUCAGAACCUAGUGAUAGCAAUAUCAUAGGGGUUCAACUCCCCUCCCUUGCACCA
rnacentral:tRNA from 1 species